CGACAGCAAUAUGAAGGUCAGGCUGAAGACCUUACCCGAUUAGCUGAGAGGUGGUGCAUGGCCGUCGUCAGUUCGUACUGUGAAGCAUCCUGUUAAGUCAGGCAACGAGCGAGACCCACGUCCACAGUUGCCAGCAUACCCUCCGGGGUGAUGGGUACACUGUGGAGACCGCCGCUGCUAAAGCGGAGGAAGGAGUGGGCAACGGUAGGUCAGUAUGCCCCGAAUCUCCCGGGCUACACGCGGACUACAAUGGUUGGUACAAUGGGCAUCUACCCCGAAGGGGGAAGGAAAUCUCUUAAAGCCAAUCGUAGUUCGGAUUGAGGGCUGCAACUCGCCCUCAUGAAGCUGGAAUCCGUAGUAAUCGCGUUUCAACAGAACGCGGUGAAUACGUCCCUGCUCCUU
rnacentral:rRNA from 1 species